rnacentral:lncRNA from 1 species
UCCAUCCACUCAAUGGUGAUAGCACAUGGAUUUUUAAUACCCUCUAGCCAUUGAUGUUGCUCUUCUCGAUCCUCCUUGUGGUCUUGGUGACUCUUAUGCUUGGGAUGUCUAGAGAGAUUCAUAGGAUUAUCGGGAGGUUCAAUAGAAAGAGCAUAGUAGAAAUUAUUAGGCUCAAGGAUGGGUUUAAAGAUAGGUUCGAAUGAGUCAUCAAAAGUGGGCGUAGAAGGGGAGAAGAUGAGAUUGUCUUCUAAAUGGCUUCGCUCUCCUUCUAUUGCAUCACUUAAGAUGCCAUUCUUGAUUCUUUCU